rnacentral:lncRNA from 1 species
CUGGUGUUGACUACAGGGCUGAGACUGGGCUGGCUGGGCCCAAACCCAGGUGUCACUUCUUAAUACAUGGCCACAGGGGAGGAGACAGGGGGGUGUGCCAGGACGUGGGUCUGCUCUGGCCACUUCUGCCACUUGUGUACAAGAGGAAGUAGGAAGAAGGAAGGUGGCUGGGCUGCCUCCAUUUCAGCAGUGACCUCUGGCCAUUCGACGAGGGAGCGAGGAGCCCACCCAUGCGCGCACUCUCAGCGAGCCCCCAACUCUCCCAGUCUACAGCAGAGGAGUGGUUUGAUGGGAGGAGGUGGGGGUGCUCCGAGUACCUUCACUUCGGGGCAAAAUGAAGUAGGACACGUCGUUCCUUCUCUGGGCGGGCAUCGAGCAUCACCGGCACUGACUUUUCUGGAGCCACAUGUGGCUAAAGCUUAGUCAACAAUUAGCUUUUGGUUCCAGGGAACACAGAUAUGCUGGAACCCCAAACUCUUGCCAACUCUAUCCUGAAAAACACCCCAGGUUCGACUGUCUCGUGAGUCCAGAUGUCACUGCCGCCUCACUCCACCUUUUCUGUGCUCUCAUCGUCUCCAGAGCAGUCCUUUCAACAGUCAGUUGCCUUGUUCCCCACCUCCCUGCGACCUUCCGUGGUUUACCUUUUCAUGCAGGGUGAAAUCCCAACUGUGAAUUGGAACCCUCACCAGUCACCUCCUUCCUCUGUGUCUCCCAGGUUGCUCUGUGCUGGUGGCGCUCCUCCCGCCCCUCCUGGUGCGCCCUUCCCCAAGUUGGCUGCCUUGCUUCCUCAGUGGGCAUCUUAUCUGAGUCCUUCCUCGCCCCCAUUACCCUGUAUUUAAACAGGCCUUAGAACCGUGUGGGCACAUAGUAGACACUUAGAAGCCUUAAAUAUGUGUUGAAUGGAAGAGUAGCUGCUGCCCCUCCAGCCACAGGCCUCUCUCCAUGUCACCGACACCAGUGAUGUUGCCCCUUUGCCCAGAGUUGUCCAACAGAAACUAAAUGCAGCCAGGGUGUCACUUAAAAUUUCCUAUUAGUCACAAUUAAAACAAAAUGAGGGCAGCCCAAUGGCGUAGCAGUUAAGUUCGAGCGCUCUGCUUUGGCGGCUUGGGGUUCACAGGUUUGGAUCCCGGUCACGGACCUACACACUGCCCAUCAAGCCAUGCUGUGGCAGCAUCCCACAUACAGAAUAGAGGAAGAUUGGCAACAGCUGUUAGCUCAGGGCCAAUCUUCCUCACCAAAAAAGACAUAAAAAUACCCCAAAAUGGGUAAAAUUAAUUUCAACACUAUAUUUAACGCAAUUGUCCAAAAUACCAUCAUUUCCACAUGUAAUAAACACAAAAAAUUUACUUGUGAGAUAUUUUACAUUCUUUUCUUCUUUGUACUAAGUUUUUGAAAACAGGUGUGUAGUUUAUAUGCACAGCACAUGUCAGUUUGGACUCACAUUUCCAGUGCUUACUAGUCAUCUGUGGCUAGAGGCCACUUAGUGGACCAGACCUAGAAUGCUCUCCCCACUUCUUACUCAGGUAGUUCUUCCUCGACCUUCUGACAGCAGCUCCAGGGUCAGGCCUUGGGGAAGGCUUCUGUGGGCCUCACCCAGACGAGACCUGAUUGCCACUCAGUGUUCUCCGAUAACUCCCCACCUGGUCUUUCAAAGCACUGAGCAUGGCUUGUAAUUAGGGACCUCUUCAGCUAUUUGACGAACACAUGUUGUCCCCGCCUGAGGAGAGGCCACACGUGGGAGAGACUGGACCUGCCAUGCUCCUGUUGAAUCCCCAGUGCCUGAUCUAGGGCCUGCCCACAGCAGACACUCCAUAAAUAUUUUGACUUAAUGCAUUAAAUGGCUUGAUUCUUCCUUUGCUCUGCUUUUCUUUUCUCUCUAGUUUUGACUUACAGGUUCUGCUUUGGUGGAACUUUGCUUUUCCUUACUAUGUUUUCAGAUUGUUUCCGAGGGAAAUUGCCUUAUUUAUAUUUCCUACUUUAAAUUCCCUAGAGAGAGUAUUGGAUUGGCUAAGGUCAGUGUUUUUCAAAUUUUCUCAUGGAUGAGUAUUGUCAGGAACCCAAAAUAAAAAACGCUAAUUCCGGGGCUGGCCCCGUGGCUGAGUGGUUAAUUUCGCAUGCUCCGCUGCAGGCGGCCCAGUGUUUCGCUGGUUCGAAUCCCGGGCGCGGACAUGGCACUGCUCAUCAAACCACGCUGAGGCGGCGUCCCACAUGCCACAACUAGAAGGACCCACAACGAAGAAUAUACAACUAUGUACUGGGGGGCUUUGAGGAGAAAAAAAAUAAAACAAACAAACAAAAAACCGCUAAUUCCUAGUUCCCUCUCCUCUAGAUUGACACAAUAGAUGAAUGUGGGGUCUGGAGUCUGAAUUUUAUCAAUUUUACCAGGUAGUUCUUACAAUGAGGCAACUCUGGGAACCCUUGGGUCUUCUUGGAUGCUCGUCAGCCCCUGGGUUGGCUGUUAUCGUCAGGUGUCCCCAUCCAGGGAAGUUACUGGGUAAGAGUGGGGAGAGCACAAUCUAGCUGCCCAGAGGAGUCUGAAGUUCUCCACGGUUUCCCACAGGACGAGCACUGUUCUCAGGGUUGUGCACACCCCUGGUGGAACCUUCCGGGCGGCCCUUUGAGAGCAGGGCUGUCCAUGGUUCCCGCUCCGCCAAUGAGACUGAGGGUCUGAGAGGUGAUGAGGCUGCCCGGGCUCCGGCUGGUGGGUGGCCUGGCGGCGGAGCGUCCUCCACUCCUCGAGCACGGGGACGGGGUCGCAGGCUCUCCUCCAGCCCCAGUGAGUCCCCCCAGAUGAGGGGUCGCGGGCUCCCCUCCGCGGCUGAGUCCCCUGGACGAGCGGCGGGCGCACGGAAGGAAGCGGAACUCGAGCGAACCCAAAGCCCCCCAGCGUCCCGCGUCGGGAGCCACGGUGUAGGUCACCGCCGACCGCCGUCCUCCCGCCGGGGCGCGCGGCCUGCCCCCGCCCGGCCAGCUCGACGCCUCGCGCACGUUUCACGACGAGAGGCCUCGGGCCUCGGGCCUCGGGCCGCACGUAGCUCGCGCCGCGGCCGCACGGCUGACGUCCGGUCGGCCAGCGCCUUCCACGCCAGACCCAGGUUCUCGAGCGUGCCCUCGCCGCUUCCG